AGCUCCAAUAGCGUAUAUUAAAGUUGUUGCGGUUAAAAAGCUCGUAGUUGGAUUUCUGCUUGGGGUGGCCGAUGUGCCUUCUGGGUUACAGCCGGUUCAGCCUGAGCAUCUUCUUGGGAAUCGUGUCUGCACUUGAUUGUGUGGCACGGGUUCCAGGACUUUUACUUUGAGGAAAUUAGAGUGUUUCAAGCAGGCGUCCGCCUUGAAUACGUUAGCAUGGAAUAAUGCGACAGGACCUCGGUCCAUUUUGUUGGUUUCUUGGGUUGAGGUAAUGAUUAACAGGGAUGGUUGGGGGCAUUCGUAUUUAACUGUCAGAGGUGAAAUUCUUGGAUUUGUUAAAGACGAACUACUGCGAAAGCAUUUGCCAAGGAUGUUUUCA
rnacentral:rRNA from 1 species